UCUAUCCACUGAGCCAAACCGGUUUCGCUUUCCAUUUUGCAGUUGGGCAAACUGCGGCUCAGAAAGACUGAGAACCUCUGGGAAGUGGCAAAGCAGCCGAGGCUGCACAAAGCCCAUCACUGGUUAAAACCAUGAAGUUGCGGAGGACCCCCCGCCCUCGAAGCCUAGAGAGGCCCGGCCCCUCUACAACCUAGUCCCCUCUCCACUCCCAGUUUCCGGCGGGGCGCGACUUCCGGUUCCGGACCCCGGAUACAAGUCUUGGCGCCGGGGAGGGGGUCUCCCUUUCUCGGUUUCGCUUGGGAGGUGUCUGCUCUCGCGGGGAGCUCCCUCUGAGGUGGCCCGUGUACAGGUAUUUGAUUGGCUGACUGACUUCUCUCUUUGUACCUAGCAGCCUGAGUCAUCCUUUCCAGAGUUCCAGAAUGGAGACCGAAGAAGACCCAAAGACACAAAAAGAUAGAGAAGUCCAGAAUGAUCCAAUAAUGUCACCUCCAAAUGAGAUGGUGGCUAAGGAGCCAGAUGUCCUAACUGGGGCUCCCCAGGCCCAGGUUCCACAAGAGCCUUCUGGGCAUCCGCAGAAGAGUCUUGAAAAAGUCUGUGUCAAAAAUGUUGAGAUCUGGCCAGGAAGGAAUCCUGUCAAUCCUCUCAUCUUCAGGCAGAUGUUCAGAAAGUUCCGCUAUGAGGGUCCAUCUACGCCCAGGGAAGUCUUCAGGCAUCUGCUAGCGCUUGCUAGGCAGUGGCUGAGACCCGAUAUUCACACAAAGGAACAGAUGAUAAAAAUGGUGGUGCAGGAGCAAUUCCAGAUAGUUCUGCGUGAGAUGCUCAGAGCUCGGCAGCAGAAGUGUCCGUCCACGAUCAGAUAGCCUGGCUAAGUCUCACUGCUUAUUAUUUCUUGCUUAUCCUACAUAUGAGAUGUUAGGUUAAAGGUUCUCUUUUUGUAAGUUCUUAUUACAGUCAUGGGAAAUCUAAACCUCAAUUUCCUUUGAGUUUGCUUUCGACUAGUAACGAAUCGAUCAAAACCCAUGUCUGGACCUGUUUUUGCGUGAGGCAGCUGUUUCUUGGGACUGAACUCCAGUUUCUCUGCCGUCUUGUUAAGAUAGUUGGCCUGCUGUUUGUUUUGCUCUGCUGAAUGUCUUUUUGCACUUUGUGACAUCCUUUAAUACAUUGUUUUUAUGUAUCCAAAGAGGUAAUUAACUUGCAGAAUUCUUGAUUCUUGCUGUUGUGGCAUGAGUGGGAACUUCUGUAACCUCACUAGUAACUCAUUUGGGAUAUCCUUGAAAUAUUAAAGUUUGUUUGGUUCUUAA